rnacentral:rRNA from 1 species
AUACGGAGGGGGCUAGCGUUGUUCGGAAUUACUGGGCGUAAAGCGCGCGUAGGCGGAUUGAUCAGUCAGGGGUGAAAUCCCGGAGCUUAACUCCGGAACUGCCUUUGAUACUGUCAAUCUUGAGUUCGAGAGAGGUGAGUGGAAUUCCUAGUGUAGAGGUGAAAUUCGUAGAUAUUAGGAAGAACACCAGUGGCGAAGGCGGCUCACUGGCUCGAUACUGACGCUGAGGUGCGAAAGCGUGGGGAGCAAACAGGAUUAGAAACCCUUGUAGUCC